UGGAGGUCGAGAGAGAGUGACGUCAAGCAAGCGUAGUAAGGGAGAAAAUAAAAUCCUCAAAGCACUAAGGACAGGGGCUAGAAGUUUCCUUUAUCUUCUCCCUCCUCAUUUAGAAGAGCACGUUUCCUACUCUACGUCUGGGAGCCUUGAAAACCCAGUCUGGUUCAGUUGCAGCAGGCUGCCUAUGCCUGAUAAUGACCUGACAGUUUAAAAGAGAGGGAUGGGUCAGUGGAGGCCCAUGGUUACCAGACACCAGCCAGGCCCAACAGGAUCUGGGCUG
rnacentral:lncRNA from 1 species